rnacentral:rRNA from 1 species
GAUCAUGGCUCAGGAUGAACGCUAGCUACAGGCUUAACACAUGCAAGUCGAGGGGCAGCGGGAUUGAAGCUUGCUUCAAUUGCCGGCGACCGGCGCACGGUGAGUAACGCGUAUCCAACCUUCCGUACACUCACGGGAUAGCCUUUCGAAAGAAAGAUUAAUACCUGAUGGUAUGAUGAGAUUGCAUGAUAGCAUCAUUAAAGAUUUAUCGGUGUACGAUGGGGA